GGGCCUAUGGCGCAGCUGGUAGCGCACCUGCAUGGCAUGCAGGGGGUCAGGGGUUCAAAUCCCCUUAGGUCCACGA
rnacentral:tRNA from 1 species